CCUCUCAACGCUAAAACUGUUUAGUUUAUCAACAGUAAAUAAUAGAAAAGAAAACUAUUUUCUCAGCGGACAACGUCAACCAAUAUUUCAUUGAAAAUUUGACUAAGAUAUUGCAAAUAUGAAUUAUCCGUUCCAUUCAGUUGCCUUAUCGUGCAUAGUUUUUGCGUACAUUUGGUACAUAGCUUUUCAGUGCUUUUUCAUUCCAUAUUAUUCUCUACAGUGCAGCGGUUGUGAGAGCUUUGGUAAUAUGAUACGGAGGUGUGCACAGUUACCACGUCGCUGCUUUUAUACCUACAAAGACUGUGUGCCCUUGUGCAGAGAGAGAUGCUAAAAGCAAAAUCAUUUAUGGAAUACAGAAAGCAUGCGGAAACGUUUUGAUUCACACACUUUUUGUGUGCUGCAUUUUAUGGGACUAUCAAAUAUUUUUGUGCUAUUACUAAAAAUUUCAAAAUAUAAUUCAGCAAUAACAAUAUAUGUGAGCACCUAUCAGGGCUCGAACCAGC
rnacentral:sRNA from 1 species